rnacentral:rRNA from 1 species
UGCAUAUCAAUAAGCGGAGGAAAAGAAACUAACAAGGAUUCCCCUAGUAGCGGCGAGCGAAGCGGGAAGAGCUCAAAUUUCUAAUCUGGCACCUUCGGUGUCCGAGUUGUAAUCUCUAGAAGUGUUUUCCGCGUUGGACCGCACACAAGUCUGUUGGAAUACAGCGGCAUAGUGGUGAAACCCCCGUAUAUGGUGCGGACGCCCAGCGCUUUGUGAUACACUUUCAAUGAGUCGAGUCGUUUGGGAAUGCAGCUCAAAUUGGGUGGUAAAUUCCAUCUAAAGCUAAAUAUUGGCGAGAGACCGAUAGCGAACAAGUACCGUGAGGGAAAGAUGAAAAGCACUUUGGAAAGAGAGUUAACAGUACGUGAAAUUGUUGGAAGGGAAACGCUUGAAGUCAGACUUGCUUGCCGGAGCUUGCUUCGGUUUGCAGGCCAGCAUCAGUUUUCCGGGGUGGAUAAUGACGGUUUGAAGGUAGCAGUCUCGGCUGUGUUAUAGCUUUCCGUUGGAUACAUCCUGGGGGACUGAGGAACGCAGCGUGCUUUUGCGAAAGACUCGU